UUACGGGAGGCAGCAGUGGGGAAUAUUGGACAAUGGGCGCAAGCCUGAUCCAGCAAUGCCGCGUGUGUGAAGAAGGUCUUCGGAUUGUAAAGCACUUUCGACGGGGACGAUGAUGACGGUACCCGUAGAAGAAGCCCCGGCUAACUUCGUGCCAGCAGCCGCGGUAAUACGAAGGGGGCUAGCGUUGCUCGGAAUGACUGGGCGUAAAGGGCGCGUAGGCGGUUUGUACAGUCAGACGUGAAAUUCCUGGGCUUAACCUGGGGGCUGCGUUUGAUACGUGCAGACUUGAGUGAGGAAGAGGGUUGUGGAAUUCCCAGUGUAGAGGUGAAAUUCGUAGAUAUUGGGAAGAACACCGGUGGCGAAGGCGGCAACCUGGUCCUUUACUGACGCUGAGGCGCGAAAGCGUGGGGAGCAAACAGGAUUAGAAACCCGAGUAGUCCC
rnacentral:rRNA from 1 species